rnacentral:piRNA from 1 species
AAAAGGGGUUUCAAGAGCUUUGAUGG